GAUGAACGCUGGCGGCGUGCCUAAUACAUGCCAGUCGAGCGGACGGACGGGAGGUUUCUCCCUGUCCGUCUGGCGAGGGCCGGAUGGGUACACGUUGGCUACCUGCCUGCUAGACCGGGGGUAAUCACGGAAACCGGGGGUAACUCCGGAUAACUCUUUCCCUCCGAUGAGAGCAAGCUAAAAGAUGGCAUUUCGCUAUCACUUUCGCCGGAGCCCGCGGCGCUUUAGCUAGUUGGAAAGGUAACGGCUCACCAAGGCCACGAUGCGUAGCAGACCUGAGAGGGUGAUCGGCCACACUGGAACUGAGACACGGCCCAGACUCCUACGGGAGGCAGCAGUAGGGAAUCUUCCGCAAUGGACGAAAGUCUGACGGAGCAACGCCGCGUGAGUGAUGAAGGUCUUCGGAUCGUAAAACUCUGUUGUUAGGGAAGAACAAGUGCCGGAGUAACUGCCGAUGUCUUGACGGUACCUAACCAGAAAGCCACGGCUAACUACGUG
rnacentral:rRNA from 1 species